AGUAGAGAUCCAAAUUCCUACCGCUCGCCACGCUGGUCGUUGUUACAAGGGCACUCAACGCAGCAAUCGACGAAAUUAUUCAACCUACCCACUCCAAGAUUCUGUUCAGAUAAGUCCUUAGCUUUAUAUUUGGUCAUUUGUAAAACAGAUUAGGUUCAGCAGUAGCGUGAGGAAAGAAAAAAAAAACUAUCUUUUACUUGUUUGUUUAUGCAUGUAUAACAUACCUAUAAUUUCCAUGUUGAGAUUUGCAACUCACUGUAACUCGAUGAAUACAUAGGUUGAUAAUCGGGUCAUGCUGAAUUGGUAAGUUGUUAAAAAGACAUUGACCAUACUACAAUCACGAACGAUGGGCGUCUCGGACGACGGAUUCGAAGCUUAACAAACAAGCGGGUGAUCGGUGUUAUAGCCCUGCGAAGGACAGAAGAUUUAGUUGAUGUGGACUCAAUAAGCUGAGUGUUGCCAACAGACACUGCUGGUAUCAAGAGGACAAAGAAGGGUGUUUACGAAAUAGUUACCAGAAGGUGGAGGUCGAAGCAGCGAUUCUGAAGCAAACCACUGAAGUCAAUACCAUGAAAAUCCUUGGGCAAUAAAUACUAUGGUGCAGGGAGACGGUGGCUGUAGUUAUUGUUGCUGUGGUCCUCCCCCAUUGCCACUACAGCACAGGAUGUACCUGUGGGGAGUGCCAUGUGGAGGUGGGAGGUGGAUUUGCCUUCCCUUCCUUGAAAAAGGACCUAGUACAAUAUCACAAGAUUGAAGAUGCUGCAGACCACCUCACGUUUAGGAAGGGAUCUACACUAAAGGUGUCUACAAGGGUAAUGAAGGUGGUGGACUGUCACUGCUCAUCCAGGAACAGCUAAUGGAAAACAGUUACAUCCCUACUUGGCAUCUCCCACAUCAAUCCCGUAUGGGGUUAACUCCUGCAGUGGGGACACAGUUAUUUGGUCUUCAUUGAGCAAGCCCCCUCUUCGUUUCUGGAAAGAAUGAAUGUGUGUGGAAGAGAAAACAAGGCAAGGCAAACCAAGAGGACUUCUCAUCACCCCAUCAUCAGCACCCUUCUCCAUUUCUUCUUUUUAUAUCACCUUCAUUCCUCCUGCUUGCUCUCUCCUCCUGCCCCCUCCUCCUCACUCUCUUAUCCUACCCGCCUCCCUUCUCUUCAUACUGCUUACACUUACUUUUCCCAUCUGUUCCCUUCCUCCUCUCCACAUGUUUCUUAGACUCUCUCUCUCUCUCUCUCUCUCUCUCUCUCUGAUUCCUUAUGAAAACCUGCCUUUCAGACUUUUAUAUAAUUUGUAAAGUAAAAUAUGAAAUCAAACUUUUUAAAUCUCCUCUCUCUCUGAUUCCUUAUGAAAACCUGCCUUUCAGACCUUUAUAUAAUUUGUACAAAUAAAAUAUGAAAUCAAAUUUUUUGAAUCCCAUUUUAAAAAAUUAUACUAAUAAAGAAUGAAAGUA